CAUGUCUUCGGUCAUCAAGUGAAGUGGGAACCACAUCAUGAGGCUGCAGGCAGACACUGCCUAGGUGGAAGCUCUGUGAAGGACGUACGAAAUCAAUGCCCAAGACGGGUGUAUGUAGGGCAACACAUUUUAGUGUUUUAAAAGCAUUUUAAGCAGUAUCUAAAGUUGAGGGUAAUCCCGUACUGCAAGUUAUGAUUUUAUCCUUUGGAAUCUCGUUCGUCUGAAACCCUGUUGAAAGACUUUGAAACUGAUGCUUGCAGAUUUACCUUACCAGUCGUUUGCCAUGUUCAGGGACUUGACUCUCAAAAUAAUGGAGCUUUUCCCUGUUUGCAGAAUAUGCCUGUAAAGAUCCAAGCAGCCAAAUCACGACCUUGGACCUACUCCUAUGAGUCAUGGCAAUCCCUGACUGGAUUUUAGGUGCCAGUAAAUUGUCCUCACCAUCUGUCAUAAAAUGGUGUCCGUUAACUGAAGGAAAUUGCACCACUUUAUCGGGUAAAGUACUCUGCACACUUUCUAUCUGUUCUUGGUGUGUGACUAUUCUAUGCCUCCUGUGUUUUUUUCCCCCUUGUUUGCCAAAGUGCCUCAAUGAUGAAUCAUUUCCAGAACUCUUUCUUACUGAAUUUCUUUUGAAGAAAUUUCAUUGGAUCUAA
rnacentral:lncRNA from 1 species